rnacentral:rRNA from 1 species
UACGUAGGGGGCAAGCGUUAUCCGGAUUUACUGGGUGUAAAGGGGGCGCAGACGGCGAUGCAAGCCAGGAGUGAAAGCCCGGGGCCCAACCCCGGGACUGCUCUUGGAACUGCGAGGCUGGAGUGCAGGAGGGGCAGGCGGAAUUCCUGGUGUAGCGGUGAAAUGCGUAGAUAUCAGGAGGAACACCGGUGGCGAAGGCGGCCUGCUGGACUGCAACUGACGUUGAGGCCCGAAAGCGUGGGGAGCAAACAGG